ensembl:lncRNA
GAAUCUUCCCUGGCAGGCCGCCAGGACCAGCUGAGAGCACUGGCGCCAGAGACCCGCGCGCCCGGAAAGGGGCGGGGAGGUGGGCGGAGCCAGGCAACCUCGGGACCACCAAUAGGAUGCUCAGCCGGCGCUGGCCCUGCGCGUGACGCAGCGGAGCUGGGAGGCAGGGGGCGUAGGGGCCGGGCUGUCCAGCGCUUUAUCUUUCUCUGCCGCCCGGCCGGCGACGUUGCGGGCCCUGGGCGCCAGAGAGCUUCCCGGAGCCGACCUUCCAGCUGUCUGCUCUGUGGUCGCUUCCGGGCUCUCCCUUUUGGCCGAAGCCCCCGCUGCUGGGUGCGGGCCUCACUCAGAGUCUCGCUGAAGUGCAUUGGCACAAUCUUGGCUCACUGCAACCUCCGCCUCCUGGGUUCAAGAGAUUCUCAUGCCCAGCCUCCAAAGUAUCUGAGAUUACAGGUAACCGCUCCGGGAGAUUUCCUUCAUGUUCCUUGCCCUUGUCACCUGCACACUGAUGUAAGCCUGAGCUCUGUCUUCAACCCAGACUUGUAUAUUCAGCUGCCUGUUGGUUAUAAUCACUUGGCUGACCCACAGACAUAUCACAGUGAGUGUUUCUACUCUUUGUCUUCCAGCUGUAAUUACUUAGCAUAAUGACACAUGUAUAGCCUAUAGCCUUAGCCUAGGACUUAGAAAUCUCACUUGGGAUCUAUAUUUUCCACUGCCUUCUGCAUAUAGCCAGCUGGUAUCUCAUAGACUCCUCAGCUUAAUGCUUAUACAUUUUUCUCAUCUCUCUUUCUCUUCUCUUCAUUAAUUUAUUCAUUUAACAAACACAUGUUAUUUGAGCCUUACUUCAUGCCUUUGUUUUUUGUGUGAGUUAAUGGUUUUCCCUGCCAGUCUUUUCUGUAUCGAGUUAUCUUCCUAAAGACAAAUACCAGUUCACCUUCUUGUUUAAAAGCCUUUAUUAGCUCCUUCUUGAGAUGGUAAGUUCCAAGAUCCUUGGAAUGGCCCCUAAAGGUUUUUGACCUUUUGUCCUUUCCCUUUCAUAUGUCCUGUGCUCCAGCCUUUUCCUUCUCUGCUUUAACCUAGGUUUUACCUUCUUCAGGAAACUUUCCUAAUUGCCCCUAAGCUCUCUUGGGCCCCACUUGUGUUCCCUUCUUAUACUACAUACAUCUCAAUCACUGUUAUAUAAAACCCACUAGUGGCUGGGCAUGGUGGCUCAUGCCUGUAAUCCCAGCACUUUGAGAGGCCAAGGCGGGUGGAUCACCUGGGGUCAAGGGUUUGAGAGCAGCCUGGCCAACGUGGCAAAACCCCGUCUCUAUUACAAAUACAAAAAUAUUAGCUGGGUGUGGUGGCAGGUGCCGGUAAUCCCAGCUAUUCCAGAGGCUGAGGUAGGAGAAUUGUUAGAACUCUGGGGAUGGAGGUUGCAGUGAGCCAAUCACACUACUGCCAUCCUGCCUGGGUGACAGAGCAAGACUCCCUCUCAAAACAAAAAACAAAAACAAAAACAAAAAAACCCCACUAGGGCUGGCUCAUGCCUGUAAUCCCAGCACUUUGGGAGACAGAGGCAGGUGGAUCACUUGAGGUCAGGAGUUCGAGACCAGUCUGGCCAACGUGGUGACACCCUGUCUCUACUAAAAAUAUAAAAAUUAACCAGUCUGAGUGCCUGUAAUCCCAGCUACCCGGGAGGCUGAGACAGGAGAAUUGCUUGAACGUACGAAGAGGAGGUUGCAAUGAGCCAAGAUGGUGCCACUGUGCUCCAGCCUGGGUGACAGAGUGAGACUGUCUAAAAACAACAACAACAACAACAACAAAAACCAGCCGCUAGAUGUUAUAAUUAUGUUUCUGUGUCUUUUCUUCCGCUGGAGUUUUACUCCUUGAGAACACAGAUUGUUGUAGUCGUCAUCUUUGUAUCCCCAGUGUUCACUGUGAUAACCAUACAAAGUAGUCAUCUUUGUAUGGUCUGGUAUAUAGUAGAUCUCUAUAAAAUGUUUACCUUAAUGAAUCUUAUCACCAAGGUCUCUUCCUUUUCAUAUGUUUUUCAUAGAGUGCUCCUUCCUCCCAUCCUAUAUUUUUAGUGCCUAGCAAACUUUUAUUCCUCCUUUGAACUCUGACUCUAAUAUUACCUUCUCUAUGAGAACUUGUUUCACUCUUAAGUGAUUAAUUAUGCUGUCUCAACAGUUUGUGUGUUUGUGUAAAGAAUACAAUGGAAUAGACACCUGUAUUAUUAUUAUUAUUAUUAUUUUUUUUUGAGACAGAGUUUCGCUCGUUACCCAGGCUGGAGUGCAAUGGCGUGAUCUCGGCUCACCGCAACCUCCGCCUCCUGGGUUCAGGCAAUUCUCCUGCCUCAGCCUCCUGUGUAGCUGGGAUUACAGGCAUGCGCCACCAUGCCCAGCUAAUUUUUGUAUUUUUAGUAGAGACGGGGUUUCACCAUGUUGACCAGGAUGGUCUCGAUCUCUUGACCUCGUGAUCCACCCGCCUCGGCCUCCCAAAGUGCUGAGAUUAGAGGCGUGAGCCACCACGCCCGGCCGACACCUGUAUUAUUACAACACAUUUAUAAAACACCAUUUUAGAAUGAGGUGCUUAAUAUGAAUGUAUUUUCAGAAAACUGGCACAUACCUUUUAGAUGUCAGAACUAAAACUUUCUUGUAUUCUGUUUAAACGACUAUAGCCUUUUUUAGAUUUGCCUGGGUCAUUGAAGCAUGAACUUAGCUUUGAUAUACUGAUGUGUUGGAACUGUAGAGAAAAUUCACUGUUUUUUUUUUUCUAUUGGAAAAUGGAGACAGGAUUACCUACCUCAUAGGGCUAUUGUUAGGAAUAAAGGAGAGUCAUGUAUAAGGUCUUAUCAGAGAGUUUAGCAAAAGCAAGUACCUACUCAAGAACUGACCAUUCUAAUAACCGUUAGCUAAUUAUAUGAAUUGUUUAGGGAGAAGAAUCUCAGAUUUGAGACAUUUUUUUUUCUAGUGGAGUAAAGGGCAUGACAUUUGUCAGCAAAAUUUUUUUUAGAGUCUCUUAGACAUUCUAAAUUUAGAAUCAGGCCCUGAAUGGCUGAUGUUGAUGAAAAGUCUCAAGCUCUAUCUGAGCUGCAGUAGCACACUUAGCACAAGCAAGGAAGAAAAGAAAAAACAGUCUCAAGCUCUAAAGUAUAUUGCUUUAAUAAUUCCUAUAUACCUACAAUUUAAAUCCCAAAUGAAGUAAAUGUCCCCAUUAAUGGCUUUAUAUUUACUUUUUAGUAUUAACAGGUAAAGACAAAAGUGAAGAACAUCAGUUCCAACUUUCAUAGUCGCCUAUUAACGAUUGCUUUAUGAACAUGUGAUGAGCAGUUCUUUAAAAUUUUCUUUUUUUUUUUAAGACAGGGUUUUACCAUGUUGGUCAGGGUGGUCUUGAACUCCCGACCUCAGGUGAUCCGCCCGCCUUGGCCUCCAAAGUGCUUGGAUUACAGGCAUGAGCCACCAUGCCUGGCCUAAAAUUUUCUUAAUGUAUAUGAAAGUACUGGAUAAUUACUGAUUUAUCCAACAAAUUAAGUAUAGAAUGUGUUCCAGGCACAGUUCUAAAUAUUUGGGGAAAAGCGGUAAAUGAGAAAAAAAUUCUGCUUCUUAUGGAGAUUAGUCUUAUGGGAUAGCAAGAAAAUAUAAUGUAUUGCAGGAUAAGUGCACUGAAGACAAAUAAAGCAAUAAAGCAAGGUAAGGGGAUAAGAGAGGAAUGAGGCUCCAGGAUGUGUGUUUUAGAUAGAGUAGACAAGGAGGUCCCUGAGGAGGGGGCGUCUGAGUAGGGAACUGAGUGAGGGUAUCUGGGAGGAGAUGCUCUUGGCAGAUGGAUUAGGCCUUUAGGUUUGGAAAAAGCUUGGCUUGUUUAAGAAACAGUGGAAGGCCAAAGUCAUGAGUAGAGAAAAAUGAGAGAGAAGAUUGAUGGUAUUUGAGUGUUAAGAGAUAAGAUUGAUGGUACUUGAGGCUGGGCAUAGUGGCUUAAUACCUGUAAUCCCAACACUGUGGGAGGCUGAGGGUGGAUCACUUGAGGCCAGGCGUUCAAGACCAAUUUGGCCAACAUGGCAAAAUCUUGUCUCUGCUAAAAUUCAUAAAUUAGCUGGGCAUAGUGGUACACACCUGUAAUUCCAGCUACCCAGGAGGCUGAGGCAUGAGAAUUGCUUGAACCUGAGAGGCGGAGUUUGCAGUGAGCCAAGAUCACACCACUGCACUCCAACCUGGGUGACACAGUGAGACUCUGUCUCAAAAAACAAACUGAUGGUGAAUGCCAGGUAAUGCAGGAGUUAUUAGAUCAUGGUGAGGACUUAGGAUGUUUGAAGGGGUUUAAGUUGUGAAAUGACUUGAUG